GGCUGAAGUUGGUGAAUGUUGGACAAAAGAGUUUCAAUAAGUUCGGGCCACUGCUUGUGAGGUAAUUCGAUACCGGCGAUCUUAGCAAUGACUUGAGAGGCAGUAGACCGAGCCUCGGGAACAGGGGAAGAAAGGGUAUGCAACAAGCAUUCUUUGACCUGUGGCUUCACAGAUGUAUCGAGAUAGUCUAGAGUCAACCAUU
rnacentral:misc_RNA from 1 species